UUGAGCUCUGAAUGUCAAGACCAGUCCUGGGUGAGGAAACUGAAGCUCUGAGAGCAGUAGCUCCCCUGAGCCGUGCAGCUGGAGAGGGCUGCGCCAACAGCAGAGCUGGGGCUCUUUGCAGUCCCAUUUUCCACUGCUUUGGUCAGGGAGUGAGUCCCCUGAUGUCAUCCGAGGAUAUGAGGCAUCGCUAAAUCUGGCCAUCCCCUGAAGCACCCAGCCUCACCGACUUCCUGAAGCGUGGAUGAACGCUGCUGCCACAAAUGUGCUGUGACAACCGCUGACAAGGAGAGUGAGUGAUGUUUGUGCCAUCCUGCUGAGCACGAGGGAGCUGCUUGGGGAAGCCAGGGGCUGGGGCAUCUCAAUAGCACUGAGGGCAGCCUCGGGGGGGCUUCACAGCACACCCACCCCCAGAUCACUGCUGAUUCUGGGGGAUGCAUGACAGAGCUUUCUGACCUUGCACUUCCCUUUGGCUGCUAAACUGAAUGAAG
rnacentral:lncRNA from 10 species